rnacentral:rRNA from 1 species
GGAGUUAGCCGGUGCUUCUUCUGUGAGUGAUGUCCUUCCUGCCGGCUAUUAACCCGCAGGCCUUCUUCCUCACUGAAAGUGCUUUACAACCCGAAGGCCUUCUUCACACACGCGGCAUGGCUGGAUCAGGGUUGCCCCCAUUGUCCAAUAUUCCCCACUGCUGCCUCCCGUAGGAGUCUGGGCCGUGUCUCAGUCCCAGUGUGGCUGAUCAUCCUCUCAGACCAGCUACGGAUCGUCGCCUUGGUGAGCCGUUACCUCACCAACCAGCUAAUCCGACAUAGGCUCAUCCGAUAGCGCGAGGCCCGAAGGUCCCCCGCUUUCCCCCGUAGGGCGUAUGCGGUAUUAGCCUGGGUUUCCCCAGGUUAUCCCCCACUACCGGGCAGAUUCCUAUGCAUUACUCACCCGUCCGCCGCUCGCCACCAGGGAGCAAGCUCCCGUGCUGCCGCUCGACUUGCAUGUGUUAGGCCGUCGCCGCCACGCGUUCAAUCUUGAGCACGGAUACAAACUACUGA